AAUCAACGCUGGCGGCGUGCCUCAGACAUGCAAGUCGAACGAUUAAAGCUCUCUUCGGAGAGUGUAUAGAGUGGCGCACGGGUGAGUAACACGUAAGUAAUCUACCCUCGAGUGGGGAAUAACGUCCGGAAACGGACGCUAAUACCGCAUAAUGCAGCGGCACCGCAAGGUGACAGUUGUUAAAGGAGAAAUUCGCUUGAGGAGGAGCUUGCGGCAGAUUAGCUUGUUGGUAAGGUAACGGCUUACCAAGGCUACGAUCUGUAACCGGUCUUAGAGGACGGUCGGUCACACUGACACUGAAUAACGGGUCAGACUCCUACGGGAGGCAGCAGUCGGGAAUUUUGGGCGAAU
rnacentral:rRNA from 1 species